UACGGAGGGUGCAAGCGUUGCUCGGAAUUAUUGGGCGUAAAGGGCAGGUAGGUGGUCUUAUUUGUCAGGGGUGAAAGCCUUGGGCUUAACCCAAGAAGUGCCUCUGAAACGGUAAGACUAGAGUCCUGGAGAGGUUAGUGGAAUUCCCGGUGUAGCGGUGAAAUGCGUAGAGAUCGGGAGGAACACCAGAGGCGAAGGCGAGUUCCUGGACAGUUACUGACACUGAGGCACGAAGGCCAGGGGAGCAAACGGG
rnacentral:rRNA from 1 species